CACAACUCUCACACUGGUCUUUCAGCAAAUCCUCCAUAUUCUGUUGUUAGACUGAACAUCAGAUUAUCAUCAUCUUCUCAAAUAUCACCUUCAGAUAUAGACAGUUUUUUAAAGCAGCUCAUCAGCCUGUCAGGACUCUCACCAAAGUUGUGGUCUGCAAAAAUCAAGACUGUUUAAAUGAUCAACUGAUGACUAGAUGAUGAAAUAACUAUGAGAACUGUAAUCACCAUAACAUAUUGUGUGAAAACAAUCCCUAACAAAAGUAAUGUUUAACAAAGUAUUAUUUUAUUUUACUUUUUUCAUGUAUAAUGUAGACUUCUUUUUCCCUGCUUUUUAUUGUUUGUGACUUAAAAGUCAAGGUAGAAAUGAAGGAGGGAUCUUGUGCUGCCAACCAGAUGUAUCGGAUUCAAAUUUAAUAAUCAAUUAAUUAUUUAAUAAUUAAUGCAUUAUUAAUUCUUGAAAUAGGAACAGCAGUUCUUAUUAUGGUGAGACCAUGCUUAAACUAACCUAGGUAAACUCUAGAUAUCAAUUUAAUGAAUUAAUAAGUAUAAUAAUAAGGGCAAAGAACAAGAGCAUUUUUCAAGAGCACAAGAGGAAUGACUGGAGCCAAAGUUGUUGAGUUAGACUACUUCAAUUAAAAAUAGUUCAUAAAAAUAACGGUUGUUGCAAAUCUCAGUUUAGUUGGUUUUGUGUAUAUUCAAUGGCCAGAGGUUAUGCUGUAGAUUAUUUAAAAGACAGUGAGUUCUUCAGCACACACAGUCUGAUAUUUUUGGUUAGUUGUAUUAGCCAGAGCACAGCGCCGACGAGUUACGCUGUUUGGUAUGGGGUACCGCAUGUAAAAGGAGCAUCUAUAACAUGUUUUCUCGCAUCUCACUCCGCACUGUUUGAGGUGUUUGAUGUACUGAUCUGGAAUCAGCAUUACGGGCCCCAUUUGAAGGUAGGAGUGGAGACUAAUUGCUCAUGUAAAUGUUAAAUGUAAAUGUUAAAUUUACAUUUACACAUGUAAACAUUAAAUCUACAUUGACAUUUACCUUGUGAAUCUUUAGUUUUACACUUGGCAAACAUUUACCAUUUACAUUCAACAUGUAGGGUGGCAUGGUGGUGCAGUGUGUAGCACUGUCGCCAAACAGUGAGAAGAGCCGGGUUACUUUCUGUGUGACAACAAAACAUUGUCAUUUACAGUAGUUUUCACAUUUAACAGGUCUUACAUACAGUAUCUUAAAAUUGAU